UAAAUUUUUUUUUUCAAAAAACAGGUGGCAAUUGCACAAAAAAAAAAAAAUACUGUUUUGGUCAACCGGCCGGACGUUCUGGCGGAUGACCAGGUAGAUCUAAAAAUUCAAAAACUAUUCAGAAGGAUGUCUAGGUAAACGACCGAAUAGACCCAAAAAUUCAAAAACUCUCUAGUUACCAAACAUGUUUUGAAAUGUGAUUUGGAAUCAUAUUUUGAAAACUAUAAUCAAACUGAGGGUUGAAAUAUGAGGGUGGAACCAUGAUUCUAGAAUGGAACCAAACAGACCGGAAUUUUUACUUUUACUUUUCUAGAGGAUGUGUUCUAAAUGCAAGUUAAUUACUGGUCAGCAUUGCCAAAGAUGGGCCAGCCUUUACUUUAUCAGUAGUGAGUUGUAGCUUGCAUGAUCUAUUAAGAAACACAAGCGUAAGAUUGAAUAAUGUACAUUGUUAAAUGAUCUGCAGGGCUGCAAACUGCAAACAAAAUUAGCCAUUUAAGCAACUAGAUCUUUUGACAAUAAAUUUGGUUUCAGCUAAAAAAUUAAGCUUGUUUACAAAACACACCAAGCCUGAGCAUAAGCUCAUCUAGAUAAGCUUGUUAACAUUGAUUGAAUUUGAAAGGUAUUUAUGUAUUCUAUUGAAUUGUCUACCUGUCCGUCAACAGUAAACUCCCUUCAUUGACUUAUGCGUGUAUUCUAUGAGAAUAAAUAUUAAUAGAACUGUAGGAAAUAGUAAAUAAUAAAGUUCACUUAUUUUUUCACAUGACUUUGCUUCCCACCUUAUGAGAACGUUAUUGUUUUUCAAAAUUUCAAAUUUCAAACACCAUAUAAAUGAUUGCUUAACAGCUAGAUUUAACUUAGUCCUUUGAUUGAAUUGUGACACGUUUUCAAGCCAAGCCUGCUCGUGAUUUGAUUUGAGUCUAGGUCAAAUAGAAACAUUUGUGCUUGAGUUGAGGUCGUGAACUCUCUUUCCUCACCUAAAAAAGCUUGAAUGACCAAUUUUAAAAAAAAAAAAAAAAAAAAAAA